GACGAACGCUGGCGGCGUGCUUAACACAUGCAAGUCGAGCGAUGAAGCACCUUCGGGUGUGAAUUAGCGGCGAACGGGUGAGGAACACGUGAAGAAUCUGCCUUCAACUCUGGGAUAACUCCGGGAAACCGGGGCUAAUACCGGAUAUGAGCCUUGAUCGCAUGAUCGGGGAUGGAAAGUUUUUCGGUUGAAGAUGACUUCGCGGCCUAUCAGGUUGUUGGUGAGGUAAUGGCUCGCCAAGGCGACGACGGGUAGCCGGCCUGAGAGGGCGACCGGCCACACUGGGACUGAGACACGGCCCAGACUCAUACGGGAGGCAGCAGUGGGGAAUAUUGGGCAAUGGAGGAAACUCUGACCCAGCGACGCCGCGUGGGGGAUGAAGGCCUUCGGGUUGUAAACCUCUUUCAGUAGGGAAGAAGCGAAAGUGACGGUACCUACAGAAGAAGCACCGGCUAACUAUGUGCCAGCAGCCGCGGUAA
rnacentral:rRNA from 1 species